rnacentral:rRNA from 1 species
GCGGCGUGCCUAAUACAUGCAAGUCGAGCGAAUGGAUUAAGAGCUUGCUCUUAUGAAGUUAGCGGCGGACGGGUGAGUAACACGUGGGUAACCUGCCCAUAAGACUGGGAUAACUCCGGGAAACCGGGGCUAAUACCGGAUAACAUUUUGAACCGCAUGGUUCGAAAUUGAAAGGCGGCUUCGGCUGUCACUUAUGGAUGGACCCGCGUCGCAUUAGCUAGUUGGUGAGGUAACGGCUCACCAAGGCAACGAUGCGUAGCCGACCUGAGAGGGUGAUCGGCCACACUGGGACUGAGACACGGCCCAGACUCCUACGGGAGGCAGCAGUAGGGAAUCUUCCGCAAUGGACGAAAGUCUGACGGAGCAACGCCGCGUGAGUGAUGAAGGCUUUCGGGUCGUAAAACUCUGUUGUUAGGGAAGAACAAGUGCUAGUUGAAUAAGCUGGCACCUUGA